rnacentral:misc_RNA from 1 species
GAUGAAGAACGUAGCGAAAUGCGAUAAGUAAUGUGAAUUGCAGAUUUCAGUGAAUCAUCGAAUCUUUGAACGCACCUUGCGCCUUGUGGUAUUCCACAAGGCAUGCCCGUUUGAGUAUCAUUAAAUCAUCAACUCUAAAACCUUUGUGGUUUUUUUAGAGCUUGGUCUUGAGGGUUUUGCAGGCUUUUUUUUUUUCGAGUCUGCUCCCUUUAAAUGCAUUAGCGAGACUUCCCUAUGCUGAACCGUCUCUUUGACGUGAUAAUUAUCUGCGUCGAAUUUUGGUUCUCGUCGGGCUUGCUUCUAAUCGUCUGUUAAAGACAAAACGGAUUUGGGUGCAUAUAUGCGCCUUUUUCCAAAACCUUUUUUGAUCUCAAAUCGGGUAGGACUACCCGCUGAACUUAAGCAUAUCAAUAAGCGGAGGA